CCUACGGGGUGCAGCAGUCGAGAAUCAUUCACAAUGGGGGAAACCCUGAUGGUGCGACGCCGCGUGGGGGAAUGAAGGUCUUCGGAUUGUAAACCCCUGUCAUGUGGGAGCAAAUUAAAAAGAUAGUACCACAAGAGGAAGAGACGGCUAACUCUGUGCCAGCAGCCGCGGUAAUACAGAGGUCUCAAGCGUUGUUCGGAAUCACUGGGCGUAAAUCGUGCGUUGGCUGUUUCGUAAGUCGUGUGUGAAAGGCGCGGGCUCAACCCGCGGACGGCACAUGAUACUGCGAGACUAGAGUAAUGGAGGGGGAACCGGAAUGCUCGGUGUAGCAGUGAAAUGCGUAGAUAUCGAGAGGAACACUCGUGGCGAAGGCGGGUUCCUGGACAUUAACUGACGCUGAGGCACGAUGGCCAGGGGAGCGAAAGGGAUUAGAUACCCCAGUAGUC
rnacentral:rRNA from 1 species